UACGGAGGGGGCAAGCGUUGUUCGGAGUUACUGGGCGUAAAGCGCGCGUAGGCGGUGCGGUAAGUCAGGGGUUAAAGGCUGCAGCUCAACUGCAGUAAGGCCUUUGAUACUAUCGUGCUAGAGUGUCAAAGAGGAGAAUGGAACUGCCGGUGUAGGGGUGAAAUCCGUAGAUAUCGGCAGGAACACCAGCGGCGAAGGCGGUUCUCUGGUUGACUUCUGACGCUGAGGCACGAAAGCUAGGGGAGCAAACAGG
rnacentral:rRNA from 1 species